rnacentral:rRNA from 1 species
CCUACGGGAGGCAGCAGUGAGGAAUAUUGGUCAAUGGGCGGGAGCCUGAACCAGCCAAGCCGCGUGAGGGAAGAAGGUACAGCGUAUCGUAAACCUCUUUUGUCAGGGAACAAAGGCGGGGACUAGUCCCCGGAUGAGGGUACCUGAAGAAAGAGCAUCGUCUAACUCCGUGCCAGCCGCCGCGGUAAUACGGAGGAUGCGAGCGUUAGCCGGAUUUAUUGGGUUUAAAGGGUGCGCAGGCGGCCUGUUAAGUCAGCGGUAAAAGCCCGGGGCUCAACCCCGGCGAGCCGUUGAAACUGGCGGGCUGGAGUUGGAGAGAAGUACGCGGAAUGCGCGGUGUAGCGGUGAAAUGCUUAGAUAUCGCGCAGAACCCCGAUUGCGAAGGCAGCAUACCGGUGCACAACUGACGCUCAGGCACGAAAGCGUGGGUAUCGAACAGGAUUAGAUACCCUGGUAGUC